UACGAAGGGGGCUAGCGUUGUUCGGAUUUACUGGGCGUAAAGCGCACGUAGGCGGUUUGUUAAGUCAGAGGUGAAAUCCCGGAGCUCAACUCCGGAACUGCCUUUGAUACUGGCAAGCUAGAGUCCGGAAGAGGUAAGUGGAACUCCUAGUGUAGAGGUGGAAUUCGUAGAUAUUAGGAAGAACACCAGUGGCGAAGGCGGCUUACUGGUCCGGAACUGACGCUGAGGUGCGAAAGCGUGGGGAGCAAACAGG
rnacentral:ncRNA from 3 species